UCAUUUCUUAUAGCACAAUAGUAUUCCAUCACAUUCAUAUACCACAACUUGCUCAGCCAUUCCCCAAUUGAUGAAUGCCAUUUUAUUCUUAACUGUCCUAGGACUGGCUUUUGACUUUAUCUGUUACCAUGUGUUAUUAAAUUCAAUAUGUGAUCCUGUGUUAAUUUUAGAAAUUGAUGAUUCAGAACAAGUUAGAAGAUUUGAUACUUUACUAUUAUUUCCCUAGGUUUCCUUUAUUACUUUAAGACCAUGAGUUUCUUUUAUGUUGAGAAAGUUCUACUGAACCAUUGAUGUUGAGCUAAUAUUAGUUGUACUGACAGACAUUAAAGUGUUUACCUCCUCAAAGAAUUCAAGAAAUAGAACAAAUCAAUAGAAACUUGUUGACUGCUUACAAUUUGCAAGGCUUGCACUCAGUGUUUCUAUCACUAAACAAAGAGUUUGAUAAUCUGUCUCUAGGCAUUAGUGUUUUGGAGUUGAGGGCAUUUUAUCAUCUGAUAGAAUGGUCCAGGAAGGAAUAGUUUUUCAGACUCUUCUGAAAAUUAUUUUAUUAGCUAACAUACUAGGAAAGACCCAAGUGAUUAGUUACAUGGCAUUAUAACUUGAAAAAAAAAAAAACAGGCUUCCCAUCAUCACGGGACGCAGGAAAGGUCACGAAGACCAACCCCACAGUUUUGAAUAUAUAUAGAAUAUAUUUUGAAUAUAUAUAUAUAUUCUGUUCAUCAUUCAUUUAUAUAAAACCAACAGAAAGGAUUCCUGAUCAAUCUAAAAUACACAUUCAUUGUUCCUGUAAAGAGGAUAACUGAAACUGGAGAGUUAUAUCAACAUGUAGCUGAUUGUGAGUAAAUACCUAAAUUCCUCUUUCUUGUCCUUACAGGCAGCAAGUGGAAUCUAUAAUUUGCCAGAGAGCAGUCGACAGUUUUUAUUCUAUUUUUAAGGAACAGCUUAUUAAAAUUCUUUCAGAAGUCCAGAAAUUGAAAAACUUCAAAAGGAAGAAUGCUAAGGUGAUUAGAGAAAUAAAUAAGAAAAGGAAGUGUUUGUUUGAAGCCCAAGACCAACUAAUUAGGUAAGUAAUUCAAAGGAUUUUAGCACUGAAAGGUCUAGAGCAAGGGUGGGGAACCUGCAGCCUUGAGGUCAUAUGUGGCCUUCUAGGCCCUCAGUUGCAGCCCUUUGAC